rnacentral:rRNA from 1 species
GGACCCGACUGCUAUCAGAGUGGGAAUAAGCCCUGCGAGUCAACAUAGCAAUAUGUGGCAUACGGCUCAGUAACACGUAGUCAACAUGCCCAGGGGACGUGGAUAACCUUGGGAAACUGAGGAUGAACCGCGAUAGGUCAUCACUUUUGGAAUGGGUAAUGACUUAAACCUAUAUGGCCCCUGGAUUGGACUGCGGCCGAUCGGGCUGUUGGUGAGGUAAUGGCCCCCCAAACCUGUAACCGGUACGGGCUUUGAGAGGAGGAGCCUGGAGAUGGGCACUGAGACAAGGGCCCCGGCCCUAUGGGGCGCAGCAGGCGCGAAACCUUUGCAAUAGGCGAAAGCUUGACAGGGUUACUUUGAGUGAUUUCCGUUAAGGAGAUCUUUUGGCACCUCUUAAAAAAGGGCAGAAUAAGGGGUGGGCAAGUUUGGUGU